UCUCUAUUCACCAUGGCACUGGUUAAAGCAUCAACUAUCAAGUUAAUUGUACCUUUUCCUGAUUUGCACAGCCAGGAUUCAGCCACCGCGGAGAUGAUUACACAGCUUAGAGAUACACUGUCCAAACCUCCCAUGAGUUUGGAAUUGUGCAUGCCAGAUUCAGUUGUAACAUAACCAGAGAUGUCAAUUCAUUAGCUGCUGUGUUAAUCAGAAUUAGGGUUUAUAAUUUAUAACUGGCAAUUUAAUUAACAGAUGGU
rnacentral:lncRNA from 1 species